rnacentral:rRNA from 1 species
UACAGAGGGGGCAAGCGUUAUUCGGAAUUAUUGGGCGUAAAGGGCGCGUAGGCGGCCUGGCAAGUGGAAGGUGAAAUCCCUCGGCUUAACCGAGGAACUGCCCUCCAAACUGCUUGGCUUGAGUCCGGGAGAGGUGAGUGGAAUUCCCAGUGUAGCGGUGAAAUGCGUAGAUAUCUGGAGGAACACCGGUGGCGAAGGCGGCAUCCUGGACCGACACUGACACUGAGGAGCGAAAGCCAGGGGAGCAAACGGG